AUCAAAAAUCAACGUUAGACAGUUAAGAUAUGUGAUAGAAGAUAAUUA
rnacentral:guide_RNA from 1 species